AACGCGAAGAACCUUACCUGGGCUCGAAAUGCUGUGGACCAGCUUAUGAAAGUAGGCCUUCCCGCAAGGGACCGCAGUAUAGGUGCUGCAUGGCUGUCGUCAGCUCGUGUCGUGAGAUGUUGGGUUAAGUCCCGCAACGAGCGCAACCCUUACCCCCAGUUGCCCAUCAUUUAGUUGGGCACUCUGGUGGAACCGCCUCGGAUAACGGGGAGGAAGGUGGGGAUGACGUCAAGUCCUCAUGGCCUUUAUGUCCAGGGCUACACACGUGCUACAAUGGCCGGUACAAACCGUCGCAAAGCCGCGAGGUGGAGCUAAUCGGAAAAAGCCGGCCUCAGUUCGGAUCGCAGUCUGCAACUCGACUGCGUGAAGCUGGAAUCGCUAGUAAUCGUGGAUCAGAAUGCCACGGUGAAUACGUUCCCGGGCCUUGUACACACCGCUAGUC
rnacentral:rRNA from 1 species